rnacentral:misc_RNA from 1 species
GAUGAAGAACGCAGCGAAUUGCGAUACGUAAUGUGAAUUGCAGAAUUCAGUGAAUCAUCGAAUCUUUGAACGCAUCUUGCGCUCCUUGGUAUUCCAUGGAGCAUGCCUGUUUGAGUGUCACGUAAACCCUCACACUUGCGACUUUAAAAAUCGCGAGGCGUGGAAUUGGACCGUGCCGUAAUCGGCUCGUCCUGAAAUAUAUUAGCUUGGGCUUCGUUAGAGUUCUCGGCACUGGUGUGAUAAUUAUCUGCGCCGCCGCCUUAGGCCUCUUCUGUUGAGCACUGCUUCAAAUCGUCCUUUGCGGACAGUAUUACAUUAAGCUUUGACCUCAAAUCAGGUAGGACUACCCGCUGAACUUAAGCAUAUCAAUAAGCGGAGGA